GUGGGGAAUAUUGGACAAUGGGGGCAACCCUGAUCCAGCCAUGCCGCGUGUGUGAAGAAGGCCUUUUGGUUGUAAAGCACUUUAAGCAGUGAAGAAGACUCCAUGGUUAAUACCCAUGGACGAUGACAUUAGCUGCAGAAUAAGCACCGGCUAACUCUGUGCCAGCAGCCGCGGUAAUACAGAGGGUGCAAGCGUUAAUCGGAAUUACUGGGCGUAAAGCGAGCGUAGGUGGCUUGAUAAGUCAGAUGUGAAAUCCCCGGGCUUAACCUGGGAACUGCAUCUGAUACUGUUAGGCUAGAAUAGGUGAGAGGAAGGUAGAAUUCCAGGUGUAGCGGUGAAAUGCGUAGAGAUCUGGAGGAAUACCGAUGGCGAAGGCAGCCUUCUGGCAUCAUAUUGACACUGAGGUUCGAAAGCGUGGGUAGCAAACAGGAUUAGAAACCCCAGUAGUCC
rnacentral:rRNA from 1 species